rnacentral:rRNA from 1 species
CAGGGAAUCUUCGGCAAUGGACGAAAGUCUGACCGAGCAACGCCGCGUGAGUGAAGAAGGUUUUCGGAUCGUAAAACUCUGUUGUUAGAGAAGAACAAGGACGUUAGUAACUGAACGUCCCCUGACGGUAUCUAACCAGAAAGCCACGGCUAACUACGUGCCAGCAGCCGCGGUAAUACGUAGGUGGCAAGCGUCGUCCGGAUUUAUUGGGCGGAAAGCGAGCGCAGGCGGUUUAUUAAGUCUGAUGUGAAAGCCCCCGGCUCAACCGGGGAGGGUCAUUGGAAACUGGGAGACUUGAGUGCAGAAGAGGAGAGUGGAAUUCCAUGUGUAGCGGUGAAAUGCGUAGAUAGAUGGAGGAACACCAGUGGCGAAGGCGGCUCUCUGGUCUGUAACUGACGCGGAGGCUCGAAAGCGUGGGGAGCAAAGAGG